rnacentral:rRNA from 1 species
CAGUAGCCACGGUAAUACGGAGGGGGCUAGCGUUGUUCGGAUUUACUGGGCGUAAAGCGCACGUAGGCGGAUCGAUCAGUCAGGGGUGAAAUCCCAGAGCUCAACUCUGGAACUGCCUUUGAUACUGUCGAUCUGGAGUAUGGAAGAGGUGAGUGGAAUUCCGAGUGUAGAGGUGAAAUUCGUAGAUAUUCGGAGGAACACCAGUGGCGAAGGCGGCUCACUGGUCCAUUACUGACGCUGAGGUGCGAAAGCGUGGGGAGCAAACAGGAUUAGAUACCCGCGUAGUCCCUGUCUCUUAUAC